CCAGUCAAUUCUUCCUGCAAUUAGUAUUCAUGGUCAGCUGAGCAGAACUAAUGCAACAAACCGUUUUUACUUUGAAGGUCAUAUUACAGGCUUCCGAGCUCCUGCGGAAAAGGCUCUUUAUGAUUUUCCUAUGGAGGGUGUUCCUCAUCAGGACCCCCAGAGACCACAGCUGCCUUGAGAGAAUAUUAUGUCUACCCUUCCCCAUCCUCGCAAUAGGGAGAACAGGAGGUCUCCUUUGAAAAUACCUCUUCGCCUGUAUAAAACUGUAUAAAGCUGCAGCUGCCUCUGGAAGAAAAAGUAAAGGAGCAUAGAGAUGAAGAGCUGUGAAGUCAAGAGCCUUUGCUUUGAUUACGAGCUCCAGGAGGUGAAAGCCAAUCUGUAUUUCACACAUAGAUUGAAUUUCUGGAAGCAGGCCCGGCAAACACUUCCAUGCAGUGGACUCCCUGAUUUAAGCAGGUGGCCCUGACCUUAGUCUGUUCACCCAGAGUCUCCAAAACCAGACAGUUCAGACCAUUCUUCUUUUGUACCCUAAGACACACAGGAGAAGUGAGAACAAGAGCCACAAGCCAGGCAAGCCAUUUCCAUUCUUUGGAUCUGAUUCCUCAGCUGUAAGAUGGGCGCAUUGGACCAAAUGGCCGCCAAGCUUCCUUCCAGCUUGAGCAUCCAAUGAGGGUUGAGCGCAGCUUCAGAGAUACGAAAGAGCGAACAGUGUUUUAAGGCCACAGUACAAUGUGACAACAGUGAUAGAUAUGCUAAUUUCUUCAUUCACUCCACUUCACUUCUUUUAUUCUUUCCAAUUAAGGCAAAUGCUACUGAAACUGUAAUUAAGCCAGGGCCGCCCCGAUUGCCUGCUGUUUUAAUGAAACCCUAUUGAUUCUUCUUUUCUUUCUAAUGGCCACACAUGGUGCUCAGUGGUCAAACACAUGCCUUGCUACAGUGUCCCCAGCAGAACUUAAUUUUGGCCCGGGAGAAUGGAAGGCCAGUGGAGAAGCUCCCAGAAGUGGCGUGGGUGGCGUGGUGAGGCUCUCAGGUCACGAGGCCACGGUGUGAGCGCAACCCCCACCCCAAUUCUGUGACCAUCCAGAAGAAACGAAAUGCCUUUGGGAUGAAUCCAGGCGUCCUUUUUAUUCUAGUGCUGGUUCCAUAAGGAGCAGUGUGGUCGUUAAACUCUAGCGGCUUACCUAAGCUGGAUGUUAAAAUCUGGGCAAUUUGGAGCUCUGCAAAUAUGCGCUCUUGACAGAUGUUCACAAACCAGAGAGCCGCUUUGGAGACGAAGUAUCGGAAGAACAUUUUACUUCUCUUUGGCAUAAAUUUGAGAAUAAAGUUUUUUUUGUUUGUUUUUUAA